rnacentral:rRNA from 1 species
CCCUCAGAUGUUCUGGGCCGCACGCGCGCUACACUGAUGAACGCAACGAGACCACCUGUACCGAAAGGCAUGGGUAAACUUGUGAAAGUUCAUCGUGAUGGGGAUAGAUUAUUGCAAUUAUUAAUCUUCAACGAGGAAUUCCUAGUAAGCGCGAGUCAUCAGCUCGCGUUGAUUACGUCCCUGCCCUUUGUACACACCGCCCGUCGCUCCUACCGAUUGAAUGGUCCGGUGAAAUCUUCGGAUUGCUGGAUAGGACUUCAUUGACCUAUCUGCGAGAAGUUGCUUGAACCUUAUCAUUUAGAGGAAGGAGAAGUCGUAACA